rnacentral:other from 1 species
UUUUUCCUGAAAUGAGCGCAAGCCUUUUAUUUUGAACCUACAUUUGAAAUAAGGGAGUCUGCUGUUUGAUAUCAAAUGUCAGGCCUUGGUAACUCCGACACACGGCAUGAACGUUGUGCAACGGCGGAGGACGAUUGCUGAUAUCUCCGGGACACCCACCUAGCUAGGGCUAGGUGUCAAAAUACAAGGAGACGCCAUUUUGGGAUUAAA